UGGGGAAUAUUGCACAAUGGGCGAAAGCCUGAUGCAGCAACGCCGCGUGAAGGAAGAAGGCCUUCGGUCGUAAACUUCUGUCCUUGGGGAAGAAGAAACUGACGGUACCCAAGGAGGAAGCCCCGGCUAACUACGUGCC
rnacentral:rRNA from 1 species